rnacentral:lncRNA from 1 species
UGUGGGGGAUCCGGUCAAGCCACAGAGACCACUCAACCUGCUUCCUUUAAAUGAAAAGGUGAAAGUUCUCAGCCAAGAAAGAAACAGAAAUGUAAGCUGAGGUUGCUAAGAUACAGAGUAAACACAGAUCCUCCCAUGAGACUAGCAAGAGGAAAAAAGGCAACUCACACUUUAGUUUUCUGUUCAGGUUGCAAAUUGCACAAGUUACAGUCGCAGUGUGGGGUAGGAGUGUUAUCAUCAGCUUCACUUCACCUUAUCAGGUCGGUGUCACGUGGGUGCCGCAUCAUCUCAUCUCAUCGCAGGAGAAAAGGGGCAGAGAACACGAAUUGGUGGUCCCAUGCCAAAUGGUCAGCCAUGAGGAAAACAAACAGGUUCUCUUGCGAUGGACAACUUGUGCCUUGUGCUGUUGUAGGUUGUGGUGCAUUUUACAAUCAAGAGCCGAUAGCAAAUCAUUAUCAGCAGUCGUCUGCCAUUUGCAUCAGCCCCCAUUCUUUGUGUUACAUUCAUUGUGCUAUGAGCUUUGACCAAGGUGUAAUCACAGGUGCCCGCUGAAUGGUUCAGAAUCUGCAGCUCUGAGAUGCGUUGCCCUGGUGUAGGGAUUAUUGGGAGCUGAAGCAAGCUCAGGCAGCACUCACUUCCAAGCUGCCCCCGUUGCCUAAACACAGUAAUAAAUCUCACUGGUAGAGGUUUUCUCUUCUCCUAAAUGAAGAGGAGAAUAAGUCUCGAAUUUUACAGUGGGUGGGACUUGAACUGAAGGAAUUUCACUAGAGAACCUGUUAUCUAUUUUCCAGUUGCCUCCUUUUGACUCUGCCCCCAUUCCUUGUGUGCUCCCUUCUCUCCCCAACCCCCUGCAUACACAUUGGUGGGUUUGACCCCCUCUGUUAGUUUUACUUGUUUUCUGUGGAGCCCCUGCUCACAUAAGAAUAUAAACUAUACUUUUACGACUUCUCUCUUAAUAACCUCUCUAUCUUUAGUCUACUUAAUUUUUCAGGUUCCAUUCAGAGAACUGUAGGGAAUAAAGGAGCAUUUUCUUCCAUGACAUCAGUGUUGUAGUUUCAUUCAGAAAAUCCUCCGUGUCUUCUGUACUUUCUCUGUCCUACUGGAUUCCUAGUAGCUACUGGUAUUUUUGUUAGAUGUAUUUUCACAAUUUCCAAAUAUGAAAUGUCACAUGGUUGCAAUUGUGUAGUAUAUAUAUUUUUUCAGACCAGCUUCUUUUACUUAGCAAUAUGUCUUACAGCUUCAUUCUCUUUAAAAGAUAUCUAUCUAUCUAUCUAUCUAUCUAUCUAUCUAUCUAUCUACCUACCUACCUAUCAUCUUUCAAUAUUGGGAAUUGACCCUAGGACCCUGUGCAUGCU